CUCCCCGAGGCCAUGCCCAGCACCACUAUAACCCCCUCCCGCAGCCCCUCAGUCACAGAGCUGAGAAAGAAUGGUUACCAUGCUAACUCGAACCUCACUUGUGCCCCCUUCUUCACGCCACACAGACCAGAGGCAAAUACAAUGAGUAUUUAGAGAAUCUGCUACGCUGAUCGCUCCCCUCUCCUCGCAGGAGGAUGGAUUUUUAAAUCUGGGAAGUCUUGUGCUACAGGCAAAAACCAAGUGAAGAGAUGUGUGAGAUUUUUUUCGAGCUGGCAAAAAGGAGACCCUAUCCAGGAGAUUAGGCUUUAAGCAUGGAGUGCAGUGGAAUGAUCUUGGCUCAUUGCAACCUC